UUUCCGUAGGUGAACCUGCGGAAGGAUCAUUAUUGUAUAACCGAGGUGCGAGGGCUGUCGCUGACCCGAAAGGUCGUGCACGCACGAGUGCCCUCACACACAUACAUCUCACCCCUUUUUGCAUCGCCGCCUGGGUCCCCCUUUGGCUUGUUCGGAGGGGGGCUUACGUUUUCACACAAACUUUGUAUGCAGUGUAGAAUGUAUUUUUUGUUUUUGCGAUCACGCAAUCAAUACAACUUUCAACAACGGAUCUCUUGGCUCUC
rnacentral:misc_RNA from 1 species